rnacentral:rRNA from 1 species
GACGUAGGGCGCGAGCGUUGUCCGGAUUUAUUGGGCGUAAAGAGCUCGUAGGCGGCUUGUCGCGUCGACCGUGAAAACUCGCAGCUCAACUGCGAGCCUGCGGUCGAUACGGGCAGGCUAGAGUUCGGUAGGGGAGACUGGAAUUCCUGGUGUAGCGGUGAAAUGCGCAGAUAUCAGGAGGAACACCGAUGGCGAAGGCAGGUCUCUGGGCCACUACUGACGCUGGAGAAGCGAAAAGCGUGGGGGAGCGAAACAGG